CAUUGCUGUCUCUCCCAGGCAAUUGGGGAAAUGAAGCAGACAAUGUCUCAGGCAAGCUUGGAAGGCUACCAGCAGGUGUCUGACUGGGCUCUGGAAAGCUCAGGUGCCACCAUCGACAGGCAGAGAACAUCCAAGAGCUAUGAGUGGGAAGG